AUUGAACGCUGGCGGCAUGCCUUACACAUGCAAGUCGAACGGUAACGCGGGGCAACCUGGCGACGAGUGGCGAACGGGUGAGUAAUGCAUCGGAACGAGCCCAGUAGUGGGGGAUAGCCCGGCGAAAGCCGGAUUAAUACCGCAUACGACCUACGGGUGAAAGGGGGGGAUCGCAAGACCUCUCGCUAUUGGAGCGGCCGAUGUCAGAUUAGGUAGUUGGUGGGGUAAAAGCCGACCAAGCCGACGAUCUGUAGCUGGUCUGAGAGGACGACCAGCCACACUGGGACUGAGACACGGCCCAGACUCCUACGGGAGGCAGCAGUGGGGAAUUUUGGACAAUGGGGGAAACCCUGAUCCAGCCAUGCCGCGUGCGGGAAGAAGGCCUUCGGGUUGUAAACCGCUUUUGUCAGGGAAGAAACGCUCUGGGCUAAUACCUUGGAGUAAUGACGGUACCUGAAGAAUAAGCACCGGCUAACUACGUGCCAGCCGCCGCCGUAA
rnacentral:rRNA from 1 species